AAGAGUCCUUAUCGCCAAGGGGGUUUACGACCUCGAUGUUGGAUCAGGACAUCCAAAUGGUGUAGCCGCUAUUAAGGGUUCGUUUGUUCAAC
rnacentral:rRNA from 1 species